UACGUAGGGGGCAAGCGUUGUCCGGAUUUAUUGGGCGUAAAGAGCGUGUAGGCGGCCAGGUAGGUCAGCUGUGAAAACUCGAGGCUCAACCUCGAGACGUCGGUUGAAACCACCUGGCUAGAGUCCGGAAGAGGAGAGUGGAAUUCCUGGUGUGAGCGGUGAAAUGCGCAGAUAUCAGGAAGAACACCCGUGGCGAAGGCGGCUCUCUGGGACGGUACUGACGCUGAGACGCGAAAGCGUGGGGAGCGAACAGG
rnacentral:rRNA from 1 species